rnacentral:rRNA from 1 species
AGGACGAACGCUUGCGACGUGCCUAAGAAAUGCAAGUCGAACGGACAGUAGCAAUACUGUUAGUGGCGAACGGUCGCGUAACACGUGGGCAACCUGCCCUGAAGCGGGGGACAACAACUUGAAAGAGUUGCUAAUACCGCAUGUGAAUCGCUGUGGCAUCACAGAGGAUUCAAAGCCGCAAGGCACUUCAGGAUGGGCCCGCGGCCUAUCAGCUAGUUGGUGAGGUAACGGCCCACCAAGGCUUCGACGGGUAGCUGGUCUGAGAGGACGAUCAGCCGGAUUGGGACUGAGAUACGGCCCAGACUCCUACGGGGGGCAGCAAUUAGGAAUCUUGCGCAAUGGGCGAAAGCCUGACGCAGCGACGUCGCGUGAAGGAUGAAAUCUUUCGGGAUGUAAACUUCUUUUUUCAGCCAUGAAACAAUGACAGUAGCUAGAAGAAUAAGCCCCGGCUAACUACGUGCCAGCAGCCGC